CCCUACGGGGGGCAGCAGUGGGGAAUAUUGCACAAUGGGGGAAACCCUGAUGCAGCAACGCCGCGUGGGUGAAGAAGUAUUUCGGUAUGUAAAGCCCUAUCAGCAGGGAAGAGAAUGACGGUACCUGACUAAGAAGCCCCGGCUAACUACGUGCCAGCAGCCGCGGUAAUACGUAGGGGGCAAGCGUUAUCCGGAUUUACUGGGUGUAAAGGGAGCGUAGACGGUUGUGCAAGUCUGAAGUGAAAGGCGGGGGCCCAACCCCUGGACUGCUUUGGGAACUGUGCAGCUGGAGUGCAGGAGAGGUA
rnacentral:rRNA from 1 species